GACGUAGGGCGCGAGCGUUGUCCGGAUUUAUUGGGCGUAAAGAGCUCGUAGGCGGCUUGUCGCGUCGAAUGUGAAAUCCUGCGGCUCAACUGCAGGCUUGCAUUCGAUACGGGCAGGCUAGAGUUCGGUAGGGGAGACUGGAAUUCCUGGUGUAGCGGUGAAAUGCGCAGAUAUCAGGAGGAACACCGGUGGCGAAGGCGACUACCUGGCCUGUUCUUGACGCUGAGGCGCGAAAGCUAGGGGAGCAAACGGG
rnacentral:rRNA from 1 species